rnacentral:piRNA from 1 species
UCCGGGAUACAGAAGGUAGCCACAGGGAGGU